rnacentral:rRNA from 1 species
UACGGGGGGAGCAAGCGUUGUUCGGAUUUACUGGGCGUAAAGAGCGUGUAGGCGGCCAGGUAGGUCCGCUGUGAAAACUCGAGGCUCAACCUCGAGAUGUCGGCGGAAACCAUCUGGCUAGAGUCCGGAAGAGGAGAGUGGAAUUCCUGGUGUAGCGGUGAAAUGCGCAGAUAUCAGGAGGAACACCGGUGGCGAAGGCGGAUCUCUGGGCCUGUCCUGACGCUCAGGCGCGAAAGCUAGGGGAGCAAACAGG